CUAAAGACUAAGCCAUGCAUGCCUUCGAAUAAGAGGAAGCAAUUCUCUCUGAAUCUGCGAACGGCUCCGCAAACCAGUUGUAAACCAUCGCAAGCAAGCCCAGGGGGAUGGCCUUAAACAAGCCGGCCCCUUGGGCUACAUGGAUAACCGUGGUAAUUCUGAGGCUAAUACAUGAUCGUAAUCCUUGGGCGGGAGGGCCUCCUGGCUUAGGCCGGGAGGUAAACCCUUCGCUCGAGGGGCGUGUGAUUGUGGCUUGGGUUUUUACCGGGAAGGGGUGCACGUCCAGACCGCUAUUAAAAAGGAAUCAGGACCGCUUGGGUCCUUGCUCUCGGGCAAGGUCCCCCAGGCGCGGACUGGCUCCAGCGGCUCUUGCUGUGUGCUUCUGACCUAUCAACUAGAUGGCAGCAUAACGGACAUGCUUUGGUUACAACGGGUACAGAGGAUUAGGGUUCGAUCCUGGAGAGUGGGCCUGAGAGAUUGCUCAUACUUCUAAGGAAGGCAGCAGGCGCGCAACGUUCCCCUUGGGCAAUGCUCGAGGGCGUUAGGGGACAUAUGAAUGCCUGCCCAUUGGGUGGGCAAUUCAAAUGGGUCUGUUCUAAACAGGCUCUCGAGUAACAAU
rnacentral:rRNA from 1 species